AUACCUUUCUCGGCCUUUUGGCUAAGAUCAAGUGUAGUAUCUGUUCUUAUCAGUUUAAUAUCUGAUAUGUGCGGUCAAUGGCCCACAUGAUAUUAACUCUAUUUUUUGGGUGGAAGUCCACUAAGAUAGCUUGCUAUCCAGGCUUUCUGAGUCGCCCAGGCUUUGCACUACUGCAAAGGCUGGCUCAACCCAU